rnacentral:rRNA from 1 species
CAGUAGCCACGGUAAUACGUAGGUGGCAAGCGUUGUCCGGAAUUAUUGGGCGUAAAGGGCUCGUAGGCGGUUUCUUAAGUCUGAUGUGAAAGCCCCCGGCUCAACCGGGGAGGGUCAUUGGAAACUGGGAAACUUAAGUGCAGAAGAGGAGAGUGGAAUUCCACGUGUAGCGGUGAAAUGCGUAGAGAUGUGGAGGAACACCAGUGGCGAAGGCGACUCUCUGGUCUGUAACUGACGCUGAGGAGCGAAAGCGUGGGGAGCGAACAGGAUUAGAUACCCGUGUAGUCCCUGUCUCUUAUAC